CCCAUCAUUAUAGAAUCACUGAAGAAGAUUUCGGCAGGGCGAUUCUUCGCCGGCGGCGGCAGUCCCAAUCCUUCAGCCCCUCUCAGCCACCUACAGAUCGUGCAACACACCACUCCACCAUAGACUACUCUCUGUUGCUUGUUCCUUCGUGUUUGUUACCUGCAACGAGAAAGAAAAACAGUUGAAAGAAAACCACCGGAGGUGAAGCUGCAAUUCCGAUCACUAAGAAGACUAAAACCCACAUCCCCCUCUGUUAUUCCUUCUUCUCCUCCUUCGAUUGCUGCCAAGAACAACCAAGAGGGCAGUAGCCCAUUUCUUCUUCGUGUUUCCUUCUUCCUGCCAAGCAAUCAAACCCAAACACUCCAAAAACCGCAUCGAUUUUAUAUCAAAACAAUCAAAACCAUACAUGUUGCUGAUCCCGUUCAUUUUUUUCUGCUGAAGAAGAACCACCCAAACGCCCUAGCUACCAUGAUCGAUGAUUGUCCUGCUAGCCAUGGCUGCUUCCGUUCAUCUUCUUCUAUUCGGUCAGUCCAGAAAUUGAAGACCCGUUUUGACUUCUACCUUAGUUCUUCUACACAACCGGUCAAAGAACGGAGGCGCUCCUUUUUCUUCAUGAUCGGUCGACGACCGAAGGCAAAUUCCAGGCAUCGGAGGCGCUCCAUCUUCUUCGCGAGAUGACGACCGCCAUCAGGCCUCGCAGCCAUCUCGUUUUCCUUCGCAACUCCUUCCAAGACUGAAGACGAGCAGCCCCGCUGCUUCGUCUCUUUCUUCUAGUCCGAGGUCACAGCCGCCUCGCUGCUUCGAUCCUUCUUCUUCGGUCUAGUCGAACGACGGAGGCCGCCACCGAUUGCGAGUCGAGCGACGAACCAUCGUGCUCCCUUCUGGUCGCCGAUUGCCCCUUCGCGUCUAUAAUCGACUUCCUUGGUGACCUCCUUUGGGAACGAUUCAUAUCCUCUACCCCAUCAAAACAAAAGAGAGUAAGAGACGGGGGC
rnacentral:lncRNA from 1 species